rnacentral:rRNA from 1 species
UACGGAGGUUGCGAGCGUUAUCCGGAUUUAUUGGGUUUAAAGGGUGCGUAGGCGGGCUUUUAAGUCAGCGGUAAAAAUUCGGGGCUCAACCCCGUCCGGCCGUUGAAACUGGGGGCCUUGAGUGGGCGAGAAGAAGGCGGAAUGCGUGGUGUAGCGGUGAAAUGCAUAGAUAUCACGCAGAACCCCGAUUGCGAAGGCAGCCUUCCGGCGCCCUACUGACGCUGAGGCACGAAAGUGCGGGGAUCGAACAGG